AAAAAGGUACGGGGCAUGAUUCGAAACCAAGAACGUGUAAAAUUACACUGUGCGAAUGUUGGUUUAGCUAGUUCCACCAGUGUCGUCGAAAACGCGAAGAUGUUUACCUCGUCAGUGCGUUUAGAAGUGAUUGUUAGCUGAUUUUUUAUCACUACGUCUUCGCUGAUUAGAUUCAAGUUGACGACGAAGCGCCGGAAUUAUCUCGUAUGGUUGAACUGAGUGAACUUUUCCAGUCGAUGAUUUCAUCAUAAGCUAACCAUAGAUGGAACCACAGGAAACUGGACACGAAACUUACGAUGUAAAAUUUUGGUGAGUGAACUCAUAUUUUACUUAGUUAGGUACAUGUAAUGUAAGUAUUUUUACUGUCUUUUUGCGAACUUUGAGAACAUCUCAGCAGGAGCUAUUUCUAUGAAAUUCUCUCAAAAGGUAUGAGUAAGAAUGACACUCAAAAUUCGCGCAUGUUUAAGAAAUGAGUCGAUAGAAAAUCCAAAAGUUGUUCAAUAUAUUAUGUAAGUAUGAAUAAGGAAAAUUCAAGAUGAGAAAGCAGCCUCAUUUUAUUCCAAUUUUGUAAUGUAAAGAUUGAAUUUUGCGUUUUAAAGCAUUAAAUUUUUCCUGUGCGGAUCUCCUGAAAAAAUUUAGAUUAACAAUCGAAAAAAUUUUCGUCUUUUAAAAUUUUACGAGAAAUUUCUAUCAAUUUGGUUGGACCUGAUACUUGAUGAAAAUUAAAUAAAUUUUUUGUGCAGAUCAGUGAAAGUUCAGAGCCACGUUUUGAAGCCUGAGUGCCUGUCUGGCUGUCCAAGGUCGUGUUUCUGCUGUCUGACCUCUUAAGGUCAUUGACCCAUCAUUGUUAUCUUCCUAAGGUCGUCUGUCUAGCUUCUCAAGGUUAUUGGCUUGUUAGUUUUACCUCUCAAGGUCAUUGACCUAUCUUUCUGGCUUCUUGAGGUCGUCUAUUUGCCUGCCUGACCACAUAAGCUCAUUGACCUGUGAAUAGGACUUCUCAUGGGGACGUCUUGGCGGUCUUUUCAGCGUCUUAAGGUCAUUGACCCGACUGUCCCACCUUUCAAGGUCGUUUGUGUUCUUGUGUGACCUCAUAUAAGGUCAUUGACCCUCCUGUUUAGUGUUUGGCCUCUCAAAGUCGUCUGUAUUGUAUUUCUGUCUGGCAUAUUAAGACUAUUCACUUGUUACUCUGUCAGUAUGGCUUUUCUCAUGGCCGUCUGCCUGACUUUCCGGCUUCUUGAGGUCAUUGACCUGGCUGUCUGACCUACCAAGGUCAUUGACCCAUCUGUCUGCCCUCUCAAGUUCGUCUAUAUUCCUAUCUAGCCUCGUAAGGCGAAUGACCCGCCAGUACUCCCGAAAACAACUGUAAGAAGUGAAGGUCUUUCUUCGAGAAUCGAGAGAUUUAAGAAAAAUUGCGCCUCAACUGACUCAAGUCGGAAUAAUUGAACGCCGAGUGGGAGAAUCAAGAGUUGAAAUUCAACAUUAUUGGUUAUUUCCUGUUUCGAUAAUUUUUCACCUCAUUGUUUGUGAUUUUCGCCAAGGAAAAAUUGUCUUCAGUCUGCUUCAGUCCAAUUGGAAAGCAUCGCAAUUACGAGCUACCUCGUGUAGUUAUUGUAAUAAAAAAGAUGUCAAGAGAUGAUUAAAAUUAAAAAUGAAAUGGUUCAGUGCGUAAAUAUUUUUUUUGUAAAAAUAUAAAACAAUUUGUUCCUUAAAAUACUAGAGUUAAAUGAAAUAUUUACUCGUCCUAAACAAUAUUGGGACCAAAAAGUAGGUACCAUUAACCAUGAGUAACAUACAAUGAUUAGAAAAUAGAAAUAGAAAUGCAUUUUUCAUUAAGCAUUAGAUAGGUAGAUUUGUCUUGACUUCUGUAAUUGAUCGAACAGGCUACUUUUUAAACUAUAUAAAUAAAUACUGAUAUCGAUAUGAUAUGAAAACAAGUCUGUGAUUAAAUUUAAUCUUGUAA